rnacentral:miRNA from 1 species
GAGACCCAUCUAUUCCCCUCUCAGACCUACAAUUCUCAGAGUUCCCUGAGAAAAGGGAUUGACUGUUAAACCACUCUGGGAACUGUAGGUCUGUGAGGGGAAUAGGAAGGUCU